ensembl:misc_RNA
CUGCCAGACCUGGAAACUUCUGUUUACUGACCGGACAGGUAGAAAACAGCCAGUAGCAAAGCAGACAUGCCCACACUGCCCUCUUCAUGGGUCUUCACCCUCAUCCGAAGUAGCCAUCUCUAGGGAUGAGAGGAUAGUUUUCAGGCCGCUUAGCAUCUGGUCUCUUGC